GACGAACCGUGCGAACGUUGUUCGGAUUCACUGGGCUUAAAGGGCGCGUAGGCGGGCGGUCAAGUCAGGGGUGAAAGUCUUUCGGCUCAACCGGAAAAGUGCCUUUGAUACUGGCCGUCUCGAGGGAGGUAGGGGCAUGCGGGAACUUCCGGUGGAGCGGUGAAAUGCGUAGAUAUCGCCUGGAACGCCGAAGGUGAAAACAGUCGCCUGGGGGCGUAC
rnacentral:rRNA from 1 species